GACGUCGAAUAUCGACGUCAUAAACAUCAAAGUUGAUCGUGUUUAUGACGUCGAAUAUCGACGUCAUAAACACCAAAGUUGACCGUGUUUAUGACGUCGAAUAUCGACGUCAUAAAUACCAAAGUUGUUCGUGUUUAUGACGUCGAAUAUCGACGUC